CUUGGAGAACUUGGAUUUGUUUGGUGGACUCUUCAGCUUGCAGUUGAUAGGCUUUUCUCUCUUCUUCCAACAGAGCUGUAAGUACAACGAGAGGAUCUGAAGUUUUGAUUGAUUAUGCUUCAUUAGAUACUUCCCAGCAGACAAGGCAAGGCAUGGUCACCUUGAAAGACUGCAAUACGGUGGAAUGAACCUCAUAAAGUAACAUAAUAAUCACCCUUAAUUCAAGUAUACUAAUGAAA